rnacentral:lncRNA from 1 species
AUAUUACUUCUACCUUGUUGACGAACAGAAGGUAUUCGUCAGCAAUAGGAUUGUCUUUUUAGAAAAAAGAGUUUCUUGGUGAAGGAAUUAAUGCUUCAAAGAUUGAAUUUGAUGAAGUUCGAUUGGUAGAAAAAUCGAUACAAUCUAGUAAACUCAGAGAGUCAGACUUGAUUAGAUCAAAUUCGAAACCUAUUGUAGAAAUAUUUUUAAGAAGAUCUGGUAGAGUACUGCAUCAACCGGAUAGAUACUACGAUUUCUUAGUCCG